rnacentral:lncRNA from 1 species
UUUUUUUUUUUGAGAUGGAGUCUGGCUGUAUUGUCCAGGCUGGAGUGCAGCGGUGCAAUCUCAGCUCACUGCAACCUCUGCCUCCUGGGUUCAAGCGAUUCUUGUGUCUCAGCCUCCCGAGUAGUUGGGAUUUACAAGUCAAUUUUUUUUUUAACUAAAACUACAGAAUCUAUUUUUCUUGGUCUCAUACUCAGUUUUUUAUGUAGUCACUUAGUAAAUAACCUAAUUUGCUUGUUUUCUCCACACUAAUUUUAGGGUGAAUUCCUCAUUUCGCUUUUCAGAUCAUGGGGUGAGGGGGAUGGUUGUGUGUGUGAGGAACUGAGGAAUCAGAUGGAAAACAAUGCCUCUGCUCCUUUGAGUAUAAUCAGUGAUAUUUGAGGUUCCAGGGUUAAAUGCUGCAUUUUUAUUUCUGACGUUCGUACCUUAAAAUAUUUGAAGAAAAUAAACUAUUUCAUUGUUGUCAGAAAUGUAGUUCUUUUAUUUUCCUGCCCCUCUCCCCUUUCUAAGUUUCUAGAAUGUUGAGUAGGUAGAACAUAGAUGCUCCUUUUAGGAUCUUUUGCUGUGGAAUGGUCCACAGGUGAAUGGCAGUAAUAUCUUAAAAUGAUUGGCCCCCUCUCUCUUUGUUUCCAUCAAGGAUACAGUUGAUAUAUUAGUUGGAUGGCAUAUAGAUCAUACUCAGAAACCUUCGCUCACGCAGCAGGUAUCUGGGUGGUUGCAGAGUUUGGAGCCAUUUUGGGUAGCUGAUCUUGCAUUUUCUACGACUCUUCUUGGUCAUUUUCUAGAAGACAUGGAAGCAUAUGCUGAGGACCUCAGCCAUGUGGCCUCUGGGGAAUCAGUGGAUGAAGACGUCCCUCCUCCAUCAGUGUCAUUACCAAAGCUGACUGCGCUUCUCCGGGUAUUUAGUACUGUGGUGAGGAGCAUUGGGGAACGCUUCAGCCCAAUUCGGGUCCUCCGAUUACUGAGGCAUACGUAACAGAUAUUCUGUACAGAGUAAUGAGAUGUGUGACGGCUGCAAACCAGGUGUUUUUUUCUGAGGCUGUGUUGACAGCUGCUAAUGAGUGUGUUGGUGUUUUGCUCGGCAGCUUGGAUCCUAGCAUGACUAUACAUUGUGACAUGGUCAUUACAUAUGGAUUAGACCAACUGGAGAAUUGCCAGACUUGUGGUACCGAUUAUAUCAUCUCAGUCUUGAAUUUACUCAUGCUGGUAUGUGAAUUAUUCUUUUCCUUUUUAAUGUGUUGGUUUAUUCAGGCCCUUAAAUCGAUAUGUAAGAAAUUAAGGGCUUUGUCUGGGUAUGGUGGCUUAUGCUUGUAAUCCCAGCACUUUGGGAGGCCAAAGCAGAAGGAUUGCUGGCAUCCAGGAAUUCUGGCACAGCUUGGGCAAUGUAGUGAGACCCCAUCUGUACAAAAAGUCAAAAAUUAGCUUGGUGUAGUGGUGUGCACCUGCAGUCCUAGCUACUCGGGAGGCUGAGGGAGGAGGAUCGAUUAAGCCCAGGAACUUGAGGUUGAAGUGAGCUCUGAUUGUGCCACUGCACUCAGCCAAGGUGACAAAAAAGGCCCUGUCUCC